CUCGCGCGGUCGCCCACAGGUCCUUGACUCCUUCCCCAAACAAACCCGCGUGGCCUCCACGCCGUCGGUUCGUCUCCGACUACGACUUAGAAAAAGGGGAACCGCCUCCGCCGCCCGCACCGACUCCUUCCCGGAAACCCAUCCCGGCCACCGACUCUCGCCUCCGCGGCUCCUAUAAAUUCCACCCAAUCCCCCGUUGGUUCUCCACAUCGCAGAGGGUCUCGCUUUCGGUUGGUCUCGCGUUCUCUUCCCGCUCUCCUGGUAGGUAAGUCGCAGGUAUGGAUCUCGAGUAUUCGGUUCCUGUCUCGCGCUUCCGUUUCUUCGUUUGAUCGUCCAGGUACGCGGGGUUCGCGGUGCUUGAUCCGUCGAUGCCGAGGUCUAGGGUCCGGUGAUUUUCCUCUCUGUUCCGUCGCGUUGGUAUUGCUAUCUGAACCUUACCUACUUAGUUUAGCGUCGCGUCUAAUCUAUCCUGCAAUUGCUGUUCGGAUCUAGGGCUAUGAGUCGUGACUAAUCGCGUGUUUGUUGUUAUGUUGAUAUAGUUGUGCGUGAUUCAUCGUUUGCUUUGGUCUCUGUUUGUUACAGUGGAUUGGCGAGAUUGGUAUAGUUUGGGUGCAGAUUUAGAUAACAGGAGGCCCUGGUUUUGCUAACUCUGUUUCAUUCAAGGGCUCUCGAUUCACUACUUACCGUUUUUCUUAAACAGUACUUGUUGGAGUCACCCAGAAGACUUGGAAUGAAUUCUGCAAUACCUGCGUGAUUUAGUCUCGUUCAAGGUCUUCUGCGUUUUGCAUGAAGAGCAAGAGUCGGUCUGAAAACUUUGGAGUUGCGCAGUUUUUGCCUGUGAUCAUGUACCUUCCUGAUUUAGUUAGACGUCAGAAGAUUGAUUUUGCUGUGGAACACGAGCAGCACUUUGGUGUUCAUUUACCUCUGCCUAGCAAGCUUUACUGGUCAGAUCAUCUGAAGUUGAUUGUGUGGUAUAUUUGGGGGCCUUGUCGUAAAGAUUCUGUUGUAGUGGCAAAGAAUGAUGGGGUGAAUCAACAAUGUUGCUAUUUGGUGCCACUUUGUGUUCUGUUCCAUUUCAAGAUCCAUCUAAGAAAUUUGAAGGAACCUGUUUUUAUUGCUCUCUUAAGAGAAUUAAUUUCAUGCUAGUUGAUCUUACUGCGGAAGGAUUGUAGAACUGUGCCUUCUAAGAGAAGUAAUUUGGAGCUUGUUUCAACUUUCAAGUACAUUAAGCUGCAAGGAAUUUUUGGAUUGUCUGUGCUGAACUACCUCACUGCUGUUGAUUCUUUCUUUGGUGGUACCUCAAGGUUUUGCUUCAGAUGUUGGCGUAUAUAUACUGAUUUUGUUGGAAAUCUGCUGGUCUUGGAUGCGGGUCUUCUUUACACGAUGCUAGUGGGUCUGUCUUCUGUUGGUUUGCGUGCCAAUUAUUGUAGUACUAGUCUUAUAGCUUGCUGAUAGUGUGUAAUUUAUGUUGUACAUGUACAUAAUUCGUACUAUAGCAAUCUUCCUACUCUUAGUGCUGGUAACUGUAAUUGUUUGAAGAUAGAUAUGGAUUACCUGAUUUUGUCUGGAAAGAGCUUUUGUUAAAGAUAUAUAUGAUUACUUGAUUCUGUCUGGAAA